rnacentral:snRNA from 1 species
GUGUUUACUUUGGCAGCACAUAUACUAAAAUUGGACCAAUACAGAGAAGACCAACGUGGCCCCUGGUCCCAGGCUGGCAUGCAUAUUCAUAAUGAAGUAUUCCAUUUCU